rnacentral:misc_RNA from 1 species
GUGAAUCAUCAAAUUUUUGAACGCAAAUUGCACUCUCCUCGGAGAGUAUGCCUGUUUGAGGGUCAGUAUUAACGAAAAAUCGGUUUGGUUGCAAAUUGUGACGUUUCCGGAGUUUGGGCUAUCUUAACUUUUUUGGUUAAGGGGCUUAAAUUUGACCUUAUUUGCCCAUUUUUGUCCUUCCAUAAAUUUUUUUUUUAUUCUUUUUUUUUUAUUCCAAAAAUCUUAUUGGAUCCAACA